UUUGGGGAAGGAUGACAAUAAAAGGCCAAAUUACAGUGUCUCCAUCAGCAGUUCGCUGUCUUUGAGGAUGCACAAUGGCAAAAUCUCCCAAAACAAGCCAUUGGUCUGACCUCAGU
ensembl:snoRNA